CUUCUUAGAGGGGCUAUCGGUGUUUAACCGAUGGAAGUUUGAGGCAAUAACAGGUCUGUGAUGCCCUUAGAUGUUCUGGGCCGCACGCGCGGCUACACUGAUGAAGUCAUCGAGUUCAUUUCCUUCAUCGGAAGAUGUGGGUAAUCUUUUGAAACUUCAUCGUGCUGGGGAUAGAGCUUUGCAAUUAUUGCUCUUGAACGAGGAAUCCCUAGUAAGUACAAGUCAUCAGCUUGUGCUGAUUACGUCCCUGCCCUUUGUACCCACCGCCCGUCGCUACUACCGAUUGAAUGGCUUAGUGAGGC
rnacentral:rRNA from 1 species